UCAUGGAAUAAAUUAAAAGCUUUUUCCAAAACUUUUACUUUGCUACGACUUAUCUCAUUUCUGAGAGUGACGGACAAUAUGUACAUAUUUUAAAACCUCUUCUUUUGACCAUCCUUAAAUACUUGCAAAUCCUAUUCUGAUAAAAAUAAAUCUAUUAAUUGUAACUAAAAUGACCUUAAUUAUCUAUACAUGUCAUCUGAUUUAAAAUUUAUAAUCUAAUAUUUAUUUAAACAACCACACACAACAUAAAAUUAAGUAAGAAUUAAAGAGGAUUAUCUAAUUAAUAUUCAAGUUCCUCUGCAGGGGGUAAAAUACUGCCAUGUUUUUUAGGUUUAGAGAAACGGCUUUUAAUACCUAAAUAAAUUUAAAUAAGAUAUAGUGGGCUACUAGCCCCAGUUUAUUCUAAGUUUUUAAAACUUGAAAACAAAAAAUAAAUAAAUAUUUUUUCACAACUAACAAUAAAUUUUAUUCCUUGUAAAUUUAUUUUUGUUAGCAUUAAUUUAUUUUUUGG
rnacentral:rRNA from 1 species